ensembl:lncRNA
UCACACGUGCUUCAUGUAGUGCAGGGGUAUUCAACUAAAAUUUAAAGAGGUCCGGUUACGCAAUAUUUUUGGAAGCAAAGGUCCAGAAGAUUAUAAUGUUUAACUAUAUACUGUGAUAUAUUAUUAAGUAGCCUGCAUGUAAUCAAUACUUGACUGUCAAAUCAAAUUAAUUCAGUAGAAAUUUAUAUGUAACAUCAAACUGAGCAUGUGGCUCAAGAUCCUGGUGGACUGCUCAUACUGGGCUCUGAGACUAGCAACUCUCUGUGAUCACACUUCAGAUUUUAGUGGGCAUGUGUGUUCAAAACCUUUGUGUUUUGUCUCAUAAUGCAGUUUGACAUUGGCACUUUUAAUAAGAGCCGCAGUUUCUGAACAUAUCAAACACACUGGUUUAGUGCUCCCAGUGGUAAAAUGAACAGAAAGGAGUCUGUUUAUUGUGGAUUAAAAACUCUUUACUGUCCACUUUUCUCUUUUUGGACAUUUUUAUAUUUAUCUCUUCCUUUUUCAGUCUCACCGUCCUUUUAUCAACUUUCUCCUCUGUCGUCUGUAUCUCUCCUCUCUGUCGUCUGUAUCUCUUUCCUCUCUGUCUCUGUAUCUCUCCUCUCUGUCGUCUGUCUCUCUCCUCUCUGUCGUCUGUCUCUCUCUCUACUCUUUGUCUCUGUAUCUCUCCUCUCUGUCGUCUGUCUCUCUCUCUACUCUUUGUCUCUGUAUCUCUCCUCUCUGUCGUCUGUCUCUCUCCUCUCUGUCGCCUGUCCCUCUCCUCUCUGUCGUCUGUCUCUCUCCUCUCUGUCGUCUGUCCCUCUCCUCUCUGUCGUCUGUCUCUCUCCUCUCUGUCGUCUGUCUCUCUCCUCUCUGUCGUCUGUAUCUCUCCUCUCUGUCGUCUGUCCCUCUCCUCUCUGUCGUCUGUAUCUCUCCUCUCUGUCGUCUGUCUCUCUCCUCUCUGUCGUCUGUAUCUCUCCUCUCUGUCGUCUGUAUCUCUCUCCUCUCUGUCGUCUGUCUCUCUCCUCUCUGUCGUCUGUAUCUCUCCUCUCUGUCGUCUGUAUCUCUCUCCUCUCUGUCGUCUGUCCCUCUCCUCUCUGUCGUCUGUCUCUCUCCUCUCUGUCGUCUGUAUCUCUCUCCUCUCUGUCGUCUGUCCCUCUCCUCUCUGUCGUCUGUCUCUCUCCUCUCUGUCGUCUGUAUCUCUCUCCUCUCUGUCGUCUGUAUCUCUCUCCUCUCUGUCGUCUGUCUCUCUCCUCUCUGUCGUCUGUAUCUCUCCUCUCUGUCGUCUGUAUCUCUCUCCUCUCUGUCGUCUGUCCCUCUCCUCUCUGUCGUCUGUCCCUCUCCUCUCUGUCGUCUGUAUCUCUCCUCUCUGUCGUCUGUAUCUCUCCUCUCUGUCGUCUGUAUCUCUCCUCUCUGUCGUCUGUCCCUCUCCUCUCUGUCGUCUGUAUCUCUCCUCUCUGUCGUCUGUCCCUCUCCUCUCUGUCGUCUGUCUCUCUCCUCUCUGUCGUCUGUAUCUCUCUCCUCUCUGUCGUCUGUCCCUCUCCUCUCUGUCGUCUGUCUCUCUCCUCUCUGUCGUCUGUAUCUCUCCUCUCUGUCGUCUGUCUCUCUCCUCUCUGUCGUCUGUCCCUCUCCUCUCUGUCGUCUGUAUCUCUCCUCUCUGUCGUCUGUAUCUCUCCUCUCUGUCGUCUGUAUCUCUCUCCUCUCUGUCGUCUGUAUCUCUCUCCUCUCUGUCGUCUGUCUUUCUCCUCUCUGUCGUCUGUAUCUCUCCCUCUCUGUCGUCUGUCUUUCUCCUCUCUGUCGUCUGUAUCUCUCCUCUCUGUCGUCUGUCUUUCUCCUCUCUGUCGUCUGUAUCUCUCCCUCUCUGUCGUCUGUAUCUCUCCCUCUCUGUCGUCUGUCCCUCUCCUCUCUGUCGUCUGUCCCUCUCCUCUCUGUCGUCUGUCCCUCUCCUCUGUCUCUCUGUUAUCACCAUCUCUGUUUAUUAAUUCUUUCCAACCUCCAACUUUCUCUCAUCUACUGUUGAGUCUCUAAUUUUACUGCCUACGAUCCACAGAAUCGAUUGGCUAAGUGAAGUCACGUGGGAUGGCUUAACUCGCAUUCAAUUGGCCAAUGCGUUCUCGCGUCCACUUAAUAACUACCGUAACGAUCACAAUAGCUGCGGCGGUUAUAAUUAACGUGUCCCGCUAGAUUUGGAAUCAAACGUUCGGUUUGCUCUGUAGCUCCGGGUCCGUAUGGGACAGUUUCUGGGUCCGGAUCCGGACCGCGGUCCGCCUGUUAGUGACCCCUGAUGUAGUGGCUCACAUACUAACUGUAGUCUGCACCAUGAUCUAUGGAGUUAGUAGAAACUAAACGCUCCA